rnacentral:rRNA from 1 species
AUUGAACGCUGGCGGCAGGCCUAACACAUGCAAGUCGAACGAGUGGCGGACGGGUGAGUAAUGUCUGAUAAACUGCCUGAUGGAGGGGGAUCAAUACUUGAAAAGGUCGCUUAUACCGCCUACCAUUCAAUGUUGCCAGAUUGGAUUGGCUUGUUGGUGGGGUAAAGGCGCACCAAGGCGACGAUCCCUAGCUGGUCUGAGAGGAUGACCAGCCACACUGGAACGGAGACACGGUCCAGACUCCUACGGGAGGCAGCAGUGGGGAAUAUUGGACAAUGGGCGAAAUCCUGAUGCAGCCAUGCCGCGUGUAUGAAGAAGGCCUUCGGGUUGUAAAGUACUUUCAGCGGGGAGGCGUUACCCGCAGAAGAAGCACCGGCUAACUCCGUGCCAGCAGCCGCGGUAAUUC